rnacentral:rRNA from 1 species
UCAAGUGAAUAAGUGCAUCAGGCGGAUGCCUUGGCGAUGAUAGGCGACGAAGGACGUGUAAGCCUGCGAAAAGCGCGGGGAGCUGGCAAUAAAGCUAUGAUUCCGCGAUGUCCGAAUGGGAAACCCACUGCAUUCUGUGCAGUAUCCUAAGUUGAAUACAUAGGCUUAGAGAAGCGAACCCGGAGAACUGAACCAUCUAAGUACCCGGAGGAAAAGAAAUCAACCGAGAUUCCGCAAGUAGUGGCGAGCGAACGCGGAGGAGCCUGUACGUAAUAACUGUCGAGAUAGAAGAACAAGCUGGGAAGCUUGACCAUAGCGGGUGACAGUCCCGUAUUCGAAAUCUCAACAGCGGUACUAAGCGUACGAAAAGUAGGGCGGGACACGUGAAAUCCUGUCUGAAUAUGGGGGGACCAUCCUCCAAGGCUAAAUACUCAUCAUCGACCGAUAGUGAACCAGUACCGUGAGGGAAAGGCGAAAAGAACCCCGGGAGGGGAGUGAAACAGAACCUGAAACCUGAUGCAUACAAACAGUGGGAGCGCCCUAGUGGUGUGACUGCGUACCUUUUGUAUAAUGGGUCAACGACUUACAUUCAGUAGCGAGCUUAACCGGAUAGGGGAGGCGUAGGGAAACCGAGUCUUAAUAGGGCGAUGAGUUGCUGGGUGUAGACCCGAAACCGAGUGAUCUAUCCAUGGUCAGGUUGAAGGUGCCGUAACAGGUACUGGAGGACCGAACCCACGCAUGUUGCAAAAUGCGGGGAUGAGCUGUGGGUAGGGGUGAAAGGCUAAACAAACUCGGAGAUAGCUGGUUCUCCCCGAAAACUAUUUAGGUAGUGCCUCGAGCAAGACACUGAUGGGGGUAAAGCACUGUUAUGGCUAGGGGGUUAUUGCAACUUACCAACCCAUGGCAAACUCAGAAUACCAUCAAGUGGUUCCUCGGGAGACAGACAGCGGGUGCUAACGUCCGUUGUCAAGAGGGAAACAACCCAGACCGCCGGCUAAGGUCCCAAAUGAUAGAUUAAGUGGUAAACGAAGUGGGAAGGCACAGACAGCCAGGAUGUUGGCUUAGAAGCAGCCAUCAUUUAAAGAAAGCGUAAUAGCUCACUGGUCGAGUCGUCCUGCGCGGAAGAUGUAACGGGCUCAAAUCUAUAACCGAAGCUGCGGAUGCCGGUUUACCGGCAUGGUAGGGGAGCGUUCUGUAGGCUGAUGAAGGUGCAUUGUAAAGUGUGCUGGAGGUAUCAGAAGUGCGAAUGUUGACAUGAGUAGCGAUAAAGCGGGUGAAAAGCCCGCUCGCCGAAAGCCCAAGGUUUCCUACGCAACGUUCAUCGGCGUAGGGUAAGUCGGCCCUAAGGCGAGGCAGAAAUGCGUAGUCGAUGGGAAACAGGUUAAUAUUCCUGUACUUGAUUCAAAUGCGAUGUGGGACGGAGAAGGUUAGGUUGGCAAGCUGUUGGAAUAGCUUGUUUAAGCCGGUAGGUGGAAGACUUAGGCAAAUCCGGGUUUUCUUAACACCGAGAAGUGAUGACGAGUGUCUACGGACACGAAGCAACCGAUACCACGCUUCCAGGAAAAGCCACUAAGCUUCAGUUUGAAUCGAACCGUACCGCAAACCGACACAGGUGGGCAGGAUGAGAAUUCUAAGGCGCUUGAGAGAACUCGGGAGAAGGAACUCGGCAAAUUGAUACCGUAACUUCGGGAGAAGGUAUGCCCUCUAAGGUUAAGGACUUGCUCCGUAAGCCCCGGAGGGUCGCAGAGAAUAGGUGGCUGCGACUGUUUAUUAAAAACACAGCACUCUGCCAACACGAAAGUGGACGUAUAGGGUGUGACGCCUGCCCGGUGCCGGAAGGUUAAUUGAAGAUGUGCAAGCAUCGGAUCGAAGCCCCGGUAAACGGCGGCCGUAACUAUAACGGUCCUAAGGUAGCGAAAUUCCUUGUCGGGUAAGUUCCGACCCGCACGAAUGGCGUAACGAUGGCCACACUGUCUCCUCCCGAGACUCAGCGAAGUUGAAGUGGUUGUGAAGAUGCAAUCUACCCGCUGCUAGACGGAAAGACCCCGUGAACCUUUACUGUAGCUUUGCAUUGGACUUUGAAGUCACUUGUGUAGGAUAGGUGGGAGGCUUGGAAGCAGAGACGCCAGUCUCUGUGGAGUCGUCCUUGAAAUACCACCCUGGUGUCUUUGAGGUUCUAACCCAGACCCGUCAUCCGGGUCGGGGACCGUGCAUGGUAGGCAGUUUGACUGGGGCGGUCUCCUCCCAAAGCGUAACGGAGGAGUUCGAAGGUUACCUAGGUCCGGUCGGAAAUCGGACUGAUAGUGCAAUGGCAAAAGGUAGCUUAACUGCGAGACCGACAAGUCGGGCAGGUGCGAAAGCAGGACAUAGUGAUCCGGUGGUUCUGUAUGGAAGGGCCAUCGCUCAACGGAUAAAAGGUACUCCGGGAUAACAGGCUGAUUCCGCCCAAGAGUUCAUAUCGACGGCGGAGUUUGGCACCUCGAUGUCGGCUCAUCACAUCCUGGGCUGUAGUCGGUCCCAAGGGUAUGGCUGUUCGCCAUUUAAAGUGGUACGUGAGCUGGGUUUAAAACGUCGUGAGACAGUUUGGUCCCUAUCUGCAGUGGGCGUUGGAAGUUUGACGGGGGCUGCUCCUAGUACGAGAGGACCGGAGUGGACGAACCUCUGGUGUACCGGUUGUAACGCCAGUUGCAUAGCCGGGUAGCUAAGUUCGGAAGAGAUAAGCGCUGAAAGCAUCUAAGCGCGAAACUCGCCUGAAGAUGAGACUUCCCUUGCGGUUUAACCGCACUAAAGGGUCGUUCGAGACCAGGACGUUGAUAGGUGGGGUGUGGAAGCGCGGUAACGCGUGAAGCUAACCCAUACUAAUUGCCCGUGAGGCUUGACUC